CAUGUGGACCAGUGCCGGGGAUAUUGUCCUGUCACAGCAGUACGCCUUCAAAAAGUUACUGGUGUGAUGGGACAUUGUCCUCGUCUCGUGGUCCAUUCAACGCCACCGCC
rnacentral:pre_miRNA from 1 species